CAGAACCCUUCCUUAACAAGGGGUAGAUGCUAUUAUGUAAUUAAGCUCUAAUGAAUUUGCUGCCAUUAUGCCGGUGGUUCCCACUGAACCCAAGAUCACAUAAGAAGGAGACACUGGAGUUGAUUCUUGAAGAAGCAAAAGAUGGCAAGAAUUAAAGAUCAAUUGGGGAAAAAGUGAAGCUUGUUUUAAUGAAUUAAGGGCAUAUGGAAGGCAAGAUUUUAGAUGAUUUACUCCCUUACUCCUCUGUUCCCACAGUACCCCAACAUAAAAUUCUAUGUAUCAAAAAAUUUCAUGACACAUAAUAAUGUUCUCUCUGUGAUUCUCUCUUAGUCUCUGUCUUUGUCUCUUUCUGUCUCUGUGUGUCUCUCUUUGCA